AGAUUUUCUGGAUCCAGAUCUUGUGGAUGAUAUCCGUUGUGUCAAGAGGAUUGUGAAAGAUCCCGAAGGCAUGAGGAUCUGGGAUGAGUGGAAAAAGCACUGUGAAGAUCAAGACUUAGCGCACUGGGUGAAGGGGUGUAAGGUGUGAAAACGCACGUGUCUACAAUCCCUCUGCCCUCUGAAAUUAUAAAUGAUUUUUUAAAAAUUA